UACAGAGGGUGCGAGCGUUGUCCGGAAUCACUGGGCGUAAAGGGCGCGUAGGCGGUCUGCUAAGCGUGCGGUGAAAGCCCGGGGCUCAACCCCGGGUCGGCCGUGCGAACUGGUGGACUGGAGCUUGUCAGAGGCAGGCGGAAUUCCGGGUGUAGCGGUGGAAUGCGUAGAGAUGUGGAGGAACACCAGUGGCGAAGGCGGCUUUCUGGUCUGUAACUGACGCUGAGGCGCGAAAGCGUGGGGAGCAAACAGG
rnacentral:rRNA from 1 species